AUUGAACGCUGGCGGCAGGCCUAACACAUGCAAGUCGAACGGCAGCACAGAAGAGCUUGCUCUUUGGGUGGCGAGUGGCGGACGGGUGAGUAACACGUAGGAAUCUACCCAGUAGUGGGGGAUAACCUGGGGAAACCCAGGCUAAUACCGCAUACGCCCUGAGGGGGAAAGCGGGGGAUCUUCGGACCUCGCGCUAUUGGAUGAGCCUGCGUCAGAUUAGCUAGUUGGUGGGGUAAGGGCCCACCAAGACGACGAUCCGUAGCUGGUCUGAGAGGAUGACCAGUCACACCGGAACUGAGACACGGUCCGGACUCCUACGGGAGGCAGCAGUGGGGAAUAUUGGACAAUGGGCGCAAGCCUGAUCCAGCCAUGCCGCGUGGGUGAAGAAGGCCU
rnacentral:rRNA from 1 species